rnacentral:rRNA from 1 species
UACGUAGGGGGCGAGCGUUGUCCGGAGUUACUGGGCGUAAAGGGCAUGCAGGCGGUCCGACACGUUUUGUGUGACAGCGGGUGGCUUAACUACCCGAGGAUACGAAAGACGGUAGGACUUGAGGACUCGAGAGGGACACGGAAUUCCGGGUGGAGUGGUGAAAUGCGUAGAGAUCCGGAGGAACACCGAAGGCGAAGGCAGUGUCCUGGCGAGUGACUGACGCUGAGGUGCGAAAGCCAGGGGAGCGAACGGGAUUAGAUACCCCGGUAGUCCUGGCCGUAAACGAUGACCACCAGGUGUGGGAGGUAUCGACCCCUUCCGUGCCAAAGUAAACACAUUAAGUGGUCCGCCUGGGGAGUACGGUCGCAAGAUUAAA